AACGAACGCUGGCGGCAGGCCUAACACAUGCAAGUCGAACGCUGUAGCAAUACAGAGUGGCAGACGGGUGAGUAACGCGUGGGAACAUGCCCUUCGGUUCGGAAUAACUCAGGGAAACUUGAGCUAAUACCGGAUACGCCCUUAGGGGGAAAGAUUUAUUGCCGAAGGAUCGGCCCGCGGCCGAUUAGCUAGUUGGUGUGGGAAUGGCGCACCAAGGCGACGAUCGGUAGCUGGUCUGAGAGGGGGAUCAGCAACACUGGGACUGAGACACGGCCCAGACUCCAACGGAAGGGAGCGGUGGGAAAUAUUGAACAAUGGGCGCAAGCCUGUUCCAGCCAUGCCGCGUGAGUGAUGAAGGCCCUAGGGUUGUAAAGCUCUUUCGCCAGGGACGAUAAUGACGGUACCUGGAUAAGAAGCCCCGGCUAACUUCGUGCCAGCCGCCGCAGUAA
rnacentral:rRNA from 1 species